rnacentral:rRNA from 1 species
UACGUAGGGUGCAAGCGUUGUCCGGAAUCAUUGGGCGUAAAGAGCGUGUAGGCGGCCAGAUAAGUCCGCUGUGAAAUCUCGAGGCUCAACUUCGAGCUGUCGGUGGAAACUGUCUGGCUAGAGUCCGGAAGAGGAGAAUGGAAUUCCUGGUGUAGCGGUGAAAUGCGCAGAUAUCAGGAAGAACACCCGUGGCGAAGGCGGUUCUCUGGGACGGUACUGACGCUGAGAGCGAGAACGUGGGGAGCGAACAGG